GGGCCCUUAGCUCAAUGGUCAGAGCUGGCUGCUCAUACCAGUCUGGUUGCAGGUUCGAGUCCUGCAGGGCCUA
rnacentral:tRNA from 2 species